AUUGUGUAAUAUGGAGAAAAUUGGUAGGGAGGAAACAUAUACGCCUUAUAAACUGCAAAAUUUAAUUGAAUGCAACUUCUUAAUUGUAUCUUAACACUGGUUUAUGAAGAGACGCUAGAGAGCGUGUUAAACAAAGUUUCAGUGGAAUUUUGCAUUGUUUACAUUUUGCUGCAAGACACUUCUACAACUUUCGCCUUGCUCGACCAGUAAGGGAACGCGACUAAUUAGCGAUAGCCAAUUAACGGAUCUUCAAAAGGUUGUAAAUUUCACACAUACAAAUACGAGCUAUAAUAUAAUAAGGGGCGGACCAUUUGAUUUUUGAGGGGGGAGGUGGAAGAUUCAGUCUGUGCAAGAAUUUUUUUUCCGCCCAGGCGAACGAGACAGAUAUUUUUUUCCUGUAAAAGUGCAGCGCGAGAUAUUUUUUUCCCAAUAUAUUUGGCCGCAGGAUAUUUUUUUUGCCUCUCAUAAUAACGGCUUACAGUAACUUUAGGCUUUCAUAUAGCUAUCAUCGGAGACGUAGCAGGGGUUUUCAGUCAGAGGAGGCCGAGAACUGAAUCCCAAGAGGGGCCAAGGAAUUUUCACUGUGCUUUAUUUUAUAUAUGGUUAUGUCUUAAUGUUCCCCACACUAAAGCGUGCAAGUUUACUUACAAAGAAUGUAUAACUGCACCAAAACCUAAAACAUGCAGGGAUAGAGUAGAGUACUCGAAAAUGGGGGAGGGUACAGUAUAUGAAUGACCUGUAACCUUGGGGGGUUCGGGGGCAUGCUCCCCCGAGAAAAUUUUAAAGUUUGAACCUCGGAAAUGCUAUUUCCUGCGUUUUCAGCCAUGGAUAAUUAUCUUAAGCCCAGAUUUUCUCAGGGGGGGGGCAACAAUUUUGCCAGGGAACACCACUGGCUAUCGUAUGUCAGAGGCUCCAAAGGCGGUAGAAUCCCUGUGAUGUUAUCCACUGUUCACCCUGUGUUCUUUUAAGCAAAUGUGCCUGCUCAAAAAUGCAAAAUCUUGCAAGCCUGUGGACACAAUACUGAAGUGAAGAGCAUCAGUAUAGUUACAUGUAGAAAUUUUUUUUUUGAGCGCUCUCUUUUGCA